AACCCAUAGUGAGGACACCUUCUCAAAAGAUUCUUAAAUCUCUCUAAUGCAUCAUAAAAUGUCUCCAAAUAAAUUUGAGCAAAAGAAGAGAUGUCAUUCCUCAACUU
rfam:Gossypium arboreum cultivar AKA8401 contig_115793_1, whole genome shotgun sequence.